GACGAACGCUGGCGGCGUGCCUAAUACAUGCAAGUAGAACGCUGAAGAGAGGAGCUUGCUCUUCUUGGAUGAGUUGCGAACGGGUGAGUAACGCGUAGGUAACCUGCCUUGUAGCGGGGGAUAACUAUUGGAAACGAUAGCUAAUACCGCAUAACAAUGGAUGACACAUGUCAUUUAUUUGAAAGGGGCAAUUGCUCCACUACAAGAUGGACCUGCGUUGUAUUAGCUAGUAGGUGAGGUAAUGGCUCACCUAGGCGACGAUACAUAGACGACCUGAGAGGGUGAUCGGCCACACUGGGACUGAGACACGGCCCAGACUCCUACGGGAGGCAGCAGUAGGGAAUCUUCGGCAAUGGGGGCAACCCUGACCGAGCAACGCCGCGUGAGUGAAGAAGGUUUUCGGAUCGUAAAGCUCUGUUGUAAGUCAAGAACGGGUGUGAGAGUGGAAAGUUCACACUGUGACGGUAGCUUACCAGAAAGGGACGGCUAACUACGUG
rnacentral:rRNA from 1 species